rnacentral:rRNA from 1 species
ACUAACGGGUGAGUAAUACAUUCGGGAACGUGCCCNGUGCGUGNGGCGAUAACGUAGCGAAAGCUACGCUAUAUACCGCAUACGUACGCUGANGUGUGAAAGCGGGGGAUCUNCAAGGACCUCACGCGAUUGGAGCGGCCGAUGGCAGAUUAGGUAGUUGGUGGGGUAAAGGCCUACCAAGCCUGCNAUCUGUAGCUGGUCUGAGAGGACGACCAGCCACACUGGGACUGAGACACGGCCCAGAACUCCUACGGGAGGCANCANUGGGGAAUUUUGGACAAUGGGCGCAAGCCUGAUCCAGCCAUACCGCGUGCGGGAAGAAGGCCUUCCGGUUGUAAACCGCUUUUGUCAGGGAAGAAAUCUUCUGGGCUAAUACCUNNGGAGGAUGACGGUACCUGAAGAAUAAGCACCGGCUAACUACGUGCCAGCAUCCGCGGUAAUACGUAGGGUGCAAGCGUUAAUCGGAAUUACUGGGCNUAAAGCNGUGCNCAGGCGGUUCCAUAAGACAGAUGUGAAAUCCCNGGGCUCAACCUGGGAACUGNUUUGUGACUGUGGGGCUANAGUCGGUNAAGGNGAUGGAAUUCCCGUGUACCGGUAAAUGCNUAAAU